rfam:Myotis lucifugus cont2.25914, whole genome shotgun sequence.
GACAGUUCUCGGGUGACACACCCCAGAAUUGGGCUCCUUCCUCUCUGGUUCCGGAUGUGUCACCCGAGAACCGCA